rnacentral:rRNA from 1 species
CAGUCGAGCGGUAGCACAGAGGAGCUUGCUCUUUGGGUGACGAGCGGCGGACGGGUGAGUAAUGUCUGGGAAACUGCCUGAUGGAGGGGGAUAACUACUGGAAACGGUAGCUAAUACCGCAUAACCUCGCAAGAGCAAAGAGGGGGACCUUAGGGCCUCUCGCCAUCAGAUGUGCCCAGAUGGGAUUAGCUAGUAGGUGAGGUAAUGGCUCACCUAGGCGACGAUCCCUAGCUGGUCUGAGAGGAUGACCAGCCACACUGGAACUGAGACACGGUCCAGACUCCUACGGGAGGCAGCAGUGGGGAAUAUUGCACAAUGGGCGCAAGCCUGAUGCAGCCAUGCCGCGUGUGUGAAGAAGGCCUUCGGGUUGUAAAGCACUUUCAGCGAGGAGGAAGGCGGUAAGGUUAAUAACCUUAUCGAUUGACGUUACUCGCAGAAGAAGCACCGGCUAACUCCGUGCCAGCAGCCGCGGUAAUACG